GGUCCUAUAGUUUAGUGGUAGAACACCUGGUUUUGAUUAAGUACUGGAUGUCCAGUUCCUGACUCCAGGCAACCUGGGUUCGAACCCCAGUGGGACCU
rfam:Rhodotorula sp. JG-1b unplaced genomic scaffold RHOSPscaffold_44, whole genome shotgun sequence.